GCACUGGCUCGCCCCUCUGACUCAUCUUAGUUUUAGGAAGGGACCGGACAUAGUGGUCUGUGUGUUUUAGAAGAUAAGAGGUCACCAGGCACUCUUGUUUAUGAUGUUGGCCGCUGAUAGUGAGUUAUUGUUUUGGCCUGAGAAAGCCGUUAAAGGCUAGAUAGGUAGCAGUUUUGAUAACUGCAUUGGUGCGUGGCUCGGAAGUGCAUGGUCGAGUGGUUCUGUCAUGGUUUGAACAUUGUAUGUCUAUGGCCAGUAUUUAGUUUUAGCGGGAACGUCCGCUUGGCCAUGUC